AGUGAACGCUGGCGGUAGGCCUAACACAUGCAAGUCGAACGGCAGCACAGUAAGAGCUUGCUCUUACGGGUGGCGAGUGGCGGACGGGUGAGGAAUACAUCGGAAUCUACUUUUUCGUGGGGGAUAACGUAGGGAAACUUACGCUAAUACCGCAUACGACCUACGGGUGAAAGCAGGGGAUCUUCGGACCUUUCGCGAUUGAAUGAGCCGAUGUCGGAUUAGCUAGUUGGCGGGGUAAAGGCCCACCAAGGCGACGAUCCGUAGCUGGUCUGAGAGGAUGAUCGGCCACACUGGAACUGAGACACGGUCCAGACUCCUACGGGAGGCAGCAGUAGGGAAUAUUGGGCAAUGGGCGCAAGCCUGAUCCAGCCAUACCGCGUGGGUGAAGAAGGCCUUCGGGUUGUAAAGCCCUUUUGUUGGGAAAGAAAAGCAGCAGGUUAAUACCCCGCUGUUCUGACGGUACCCAAAGAAUAAGCACCGGCUAACUUCGUG
rnacentral:rRNA from 1 species